AAAAAGAUAAGCUAAAUUAAGCUAAUGGGUUCAUACCUCAUUUAUAAAGAAAAUCUUUUCUUUUUA
rnacentral:tRNA from 1 species